rnacentral:rRNA from 1 species
UACGGAGGGUGCAAGCGUUAUCCGGAUUCACUGGGUUUAAAGGGUGCGUAGGAGGGCAGGGAAGUCAGUGGUGAAAUCUCCGGGCUUAACUCGGAAACUGCCGUUGAUACUCUCUGUCUUGAAUCCCGUGGAGGUGAGCGGAAUAUGUCAUGUAGCGGUGAAAUGCGUAGAUAUGACAUAGAACACCAAUUGCGAAGGCAGCUCGCUACACGAAGAUUGACUCUGAGGCACGAAAGCGUGGGGAUCAAACAGG